GAUGAACGCUGGCGGCGUGCUUAACACAUGCAAGUCGAACGGUGAAGGCGGAGCUUGCUCUGCUGGAUCAGUGGCGAACGGGUGAGUAACACGUGAGCAAUCUGCCCCUGACUCUGGGAUAAGCGCUGGAAACGGCGUCUAAUACUGGAUACGAGCUGCGAAGGCAUCUUCAGCAGCUGGAAAGAAUUUCGGUCAGGGAUGAGCUCGCGGCCUAUCAGCUUGUUGGUGAGGUAAUGGCUCACCAAGGCGUCGACGGGUAGCCGGCCUGAGAGGGUGACCGGCCACACUGGGACUGAGACACGGCCCAGACUCCUACGGGAGGCAGCAGUGGUGAAUAUUGCACAAUGGGCGAAAGCCUGAUGCAGCAACGCCGCGUGAGGGACGACGGCCCUCGGGUUGUAAACCUCUUUUAGCAGGGAAGAAGCGAAAGUGACGGUACCUGCAGAAAAAGCGCCGGCUAACUACGUG
rnacentral:rRNA from 1 species